GCCUCGGCAUCCUCUCGUUUUGGGUUCCUGUGCUUGAUUGCAUGGGGCUUAUAGCGGGACUUUUACUUUGAGGAAAUUAGAGUGUUCACGGCAGGCUAUCGCCAGAAUACAUUAGCAUGGAAUAAUAUUAUAGGAUCGAGAUUCUAUUUUGUUGGUUUCUAGAAUUUUGAUAAUGAUUAAUAGGGACAAUUGGGGGCAUUCGUAUCAACACGUCAGAGGUGGAAUUCUUGGAUUGUGUUGCGACGAACUACUGCGAAAGCAUUUGCCAAGGAUGUUUUCAUUGAUCAAGAACGAAAGUAAGGGGAUCGAAGACGAUUAGAUACCGUCGUAGUCUUUACCAUAAACUAUGCCAACUAGAGAUGGGGCAUCGUUCACUUACGACUUGCUCCGCACCUUAUGAGAUAUCAAAGUCUUUGGGUUCCGGGGGGAGUAUGGUCGCAAGGCUGAAACNUAAAGGAAUUGACGGAAGGGCACCACCAGGAGU
rnacentral:rRNA from 1 species